rnacentral:rRNA from 1 species
AUUGAACGCUGGCGGCAUGCCUUACACAUGCAAGUCGAACGGCAGCACGGGAGCUUGCUCCUGGUGGCGAGUGGCGAACGGGUGAGUAAUGCAUCGGAACGUACCUAUUAGUGGGGGAUAACUAUCCGAAAGGAUGGCUAAUACCGCAUACGUCCUGAGGGAGAAAGCGGGGGAUCGCAAGACCUCGCGCUAUUGGAGCGGCCGAUGUCGGAUUAGCUAGUUGGUGGGGUAAAGGCCUACCAAGGCAACGAUCCGUAGCUGGUCUGAGAGGACGAACAGCCACACUGGGACUGAGACACGGCCAAGACUCCUACGGGAGGCAGCAGUGGGGAAUUUUGGACAAUGGGCGCAAGCCUGAUCCAGCCAUGCCGCGUGCGGGAAGAAGGCCUUCGGGUUGUAAACCGCUUUUGUCAGGGAAGAAACGGUCUGAGUUAAUACCUCGGGCUAAUGACGGUACCUGAAGAAUAAGCACCGGCUAACUACGUGCCAGCCGCCGCCGUAAAAC